rnacentral:rRNA from 1 species
GACAGAGGAGCCAAGCGUUGUCCGGAUUGACUGGGCGUUAAGCGCACGCAGGUGGUCGCGGGCGUCGGUGCUGACAAUUCGCCGCUUAACGGCGAAAGGCGUGCCGAUACGCCGCGACUCGAGGCCGCGAGAGGUCCGUGGAAUUGCCGGUGUAGUGGUGAAAUGCGUAGAGAUCGGCAGGAACACCAAUUGCGAAAGCAGCGGACUGGCGCGGUUCUGACACUGAGGUGCGAAAGCGUGGGGAGCGAACUUG